rnacentral:rRNA from 1 species
GCUUACGCCAUCCACUCUGAGCACGCCCGAUCUCGUCCGAUCUCGGAAGCCAAGCAGGGUUGGGUAGGGUUAGUACUUGGACGGCAGACCGCUUGGGAAUACCAGGUGCUGUAAGCU